GACGAACGCUGGCGGCGUGCCUAAUACAUGCAAGUCGAACGCAGUGGGGACGGGUGAGUAACACGUGGGUAACCUCCCAUCAGAGGGGAUAACACUUGGAAACCGGUGCUAAACCGAUACUGAUGGAUGGACCCGCGGUGCAUUAGCUAUUUGGUGAGGUAACGGAUCACCAAGGCCACGAUGCAUAGGCGACCGGAGAGUGUGAUCGGCAACACGUGGACUGAGACACGGCCCAGCCUCCUACGGGAGGCAGCAGUAGUGAAUCUUCGGCAAUGGACGAAAGUCUGACCUAGCAACGCCGCUUGAGUGAAGAAGGUGUUCGGAUCGUAAAACUCUGUUGUUAGAGAAGCGGUAUCUAACCAGAAAGCCACGGCUAACUACGUGCCAGCAGCCGCGGUAAUAC
rnacentral:rRNA from 1 species